rnacentral:misc_RNA from 1 species
AACCUUAUGGACCUGCGGGCGUAUACCUGCGGAAGGAUCAUUACAUGGCGGAGAAGGUGGGCACCUGGCCAAAAAAAACUCCAGGUUGUCAUGCCUUCACGCUCCUCCACCCUUGUCUAUUUGUACCUUUUGUCGUUCCCUCGGCGGGUUUCGACCCGCCGGCGGUAACCAUUGAAAACCCUUUUUGCAGUUUAGCAUCCAAUUCUUCUGAUCAAAUAUCAAAUCGUUACAACUUUCAAC